rnacentral:rRNA from 1 species
UACAGAGGUCCCAAGCGUUGUUCGGAUUCACUGGGCGUAAAGGGCGCGUAGGCGGUUUGCUAAGUUGAAUGUGAAAACUCUGGGCUUAACCCAGAGCCUGCAUUCAAUACUGGCAGGCUAGAGUUCUGGAGGGGAUAGCGGAAUUCCUGGUGUAGCGGUGAAAUGCGUAGAUAUCAGGAGGAACACCGGUGGCGAAGGCGGCUAUCUGGACAGAGUCUGACGCUGAGGCGCGAAAGCUAGGGGAGCAAACAGG